rnacentral:rRNA from 1 species
UACGUAGGGUGCGAGCGUUAAUCGGAAUUACUGGGCGUAAAGCGUGCGCAGGCGGUGAUGUAAGACAGGUGUGAAAUCCCCGGGCUUAACCUGGGAACUGCAUUUGUGACUGCAUCGCUGGAGUGCGGCAGAGGGGAUGGAAUUCCGCGUGUAGCAGUGAAAUGCGUAGAUAUGCGGAGGAACACCGAUGGCGAAGGCAA